UCGAGAAUCUUUCGCAAUGGGCGCAAGCCUGACGAAGCGACGCCGUGUGAGCGAAGAAGGCCUUCGGGUUGUAAAGCUCUUUCGCUAGGGAACAAGAAAGGGGCAUUAACAUCGCCUCAAUUUGAUGGUACUUGGUAAAGAAGCACCGGCUAACUCCGUGCCAGCAGCUGCGGUAAUACGGAGGGUGCAAGCAUUGAUCGGAAUUACUGGGCGUAAAGGGUGCGUAGGUGGCCCGGCAAGUCAGAUGUGAAAUACCACAGCUCAACUGUGGUGCUGCAUUUGAAACUGCCGAGCUAGAGUGUAGUUAGGGAAAACGGAAUUCAACGUGUAGCGGUGAAAUGCGUAGAUAUGUUGAAGAACACCAGUGGUGAAGACGGUUUUCUGGGCUAUAACUGACACUGAGGCACGAAAGCUAGGGGAGCAAACA
rnacentral:rRNA from 1 species